GAUGAACGCUAGCGGCAGGCUUAAUACAUGCAAGUCGUGGGGCAGCAGGGUUGUAGCAAUACAAUCGCUGGCGACCGGCAAACGGGUGCGUAACACGUACGCAACCUUCCCGUUACUGUGGCAUAGCCCCGGGAAACUUGGAUUAAUACCACAUAUUAUAUUGAGGGGGCAUCCCUUUGAUAUCAAAGCUUCGGCUGUAACGGAUGGGCGUGCGGUUGAUUAGGUAGUUGGUGGGGUAACGGCCCACCAAGCCUACGAUCAAUAGCUGAUGUGAGAGCAUGAUCAGCCACACGGGCACUGAGACACGGGCCCGACUCCUACGGGAGGCAGCAGUAAGGAAUAUUGGGCAAUGGACGAAAGUCUGACCCAGCCAUGCCGCGUGAAGGAUUAAGGUCCUCUGGAUUGUAAACUUCUUUUCUCUGGGGCGAAAACCAGCUAUUCUUAGCUAUUUGACAGUACCAGAGGAAUAAGCACCGGCUAACUCCGUGCCAGCCGCCGCGGUAACAC
rnacentral:rRNA from 1 species